CUGGAAUCCUAGGAGGGUGGAGAACCUCCCAGCCAUUUAACAGCCUGAGGACAUGGUCUAGCUUAGAGGGAAAAGGCAGCUCCUGCCUCUGGCUCCUGGGAGCUCCCAAGCCUCUGUCAAGCUGAUGAAGAUGAAAUUCUCAAGUACCAAAAAUCACCCUCAAAAUGGGCGGGCCUCGAAUGUCACAAUGCCCUCAGGAAGGAGGCCUGGUCCGGGCAACCGCUCAGCAAACAAGCCAGCACCGACGGGAUGGCAGAAGGGGCCACUUUGCAGGAGCUGGGGGGUAAGGGCAGAAGGGGCAGAGGUGGAAGGGUCAGGCCACCAGCAAAGGGCUCCUGGACAAGGCUGGGGACUCGGAGCUGCGGUGAACUGGGGAUUCCCUUCUCUAUUGACCCCCCACACUCGGAGAGAGCACUUACUGACUGAGGAAGACCCUCCGACGGCGGCGGCGGCAGGUACCCUGCUAACACUAGAAGAAAGUAGCAGCUGCCGAUCUUGCCCAGGAAGUCCCAUGUUCAUCCAUUCUCCCAAGGAAAUGCAUUCUACAAUUUGA
ensembl:lncRNA